UACGUAGGGUGCAAGCGUUUGUCCGGAAUUAUUGGGCGUAAAGGGCUCGUAGGCGGUCCAUCGCGUCGGGAGUGAAAAGCUGGGGCUUAACCCCAGUCCUGCUUCCGAUACGGGUGGACUAGAGGUAGGUAGGGGAGAUCGGAAUUCCUGGUGUAGCGGUGAAAUGACGCAGAUAUCAGGAGGAACACCGGUGGCGAAGGCGGAUCUCUGGGCCUUACCUGACGCUGAGGAGCGAAAGCAUGGGGAGCAAACAGG
rnacentral:rRNA from 1 species